AGGACGAACGCUGGCGGCGCGCUUAACACAUGCAAGUCGAGCGAGAACCAGGCCUUCGGGCCUGGGGAAAGCGGCGAACGGGUGAGUAACACGUGGGUAACCCACCCUUGGUACCGGGAUAGCCCGAGGAAACUCGGAUUAAUACCGGAUGGCCCAACAGCUUCUCGGAGCGGUUGGAAAAGGUAGCUUCGGCCUCCGACCAAGGACGGGCCCGCGGUGGAUUAGCUUGUUGGUGAGGUAACGGCUCACCAAGGCUUCGAUCCAUAGCUGGUCUGAGAGGACGAUCAGCCACACUGGGACUGAGACACGGCCCAGACUCCUACGGGAGGCAGCAGUGGGGAAUCUUGCGCAAUGGGCGAAAGCCUGACGCAGCGACGCCGCGUGGGGGAAGAAGGCUUUCGGGUUGUAAACCCCUUUCAGGAAGGACGAAGCCACUCGGGUUAAUAGCCCAGAGGGUGACGGUACUUCCAGAAGAAGCCCCGGCUAACUACGUGCCAGCAGCCGCGGUAA
rnacentral:rRNA from 1 species